CGUGCUCUGGGCUGCCUCCCAAUCGUUGUGCUCUGUAUGGACGAUGAAUGCCUGUGUGUGGCUGCAUGGCGCCGCUGUUUGAGUUCAGUGAAGCUGUUUCUGUUUGUGUGAGGAAGCAUUUCUGACACGUUUUAGCCGUGGCUGAAUAAACAUGGGACGUCGUUCUUCAGACAGCGAGGAUGACAGCCGCAGUCGGCGGAAGAAGAAGCACAGACGCCGCUCUUCUUCUUCUUCCUCCAGCUCAUCAGGCAGCAGAGUGACGAGCCGCAGCAAACAUUCCAGCAGGAGAAGUUCCCGGGACAGAGACAGGGACAGGGACCGGGACCGCGACAGGGACAAAGAUCGAGACCGUGAUCGAGACAGAGAACGAGAUCGAGACCGUGAUCGUGAUCGUGAUAGAAGGCGAAGGCACCGUUCCAGCAGCAGCUCCUCCAGAGGCUCCAGUCACAGGAGGCGGAGCCGCAGCACUGACAAAGGGCGGGGCCACAGGUCACGGAGGUCUCGCUCCCGCAGCCGUAAGAGGAGGGUGAAGACUAGCACAUCCUCUUCCAACACAUGUGAAGUCAGCCAACCGCCUCUUUUCGAGGCCAAGUAGCAUCACAGCACGCUUGGAGGAAAGCGCAGCAACUCUGUUCCAAUACAUCAGCUCACAGACACCUUGUGCUGAUCAACAUCACCCUUUGAAGGUGAUGUGGGGAGAGAGCACCAUCUACCCACCCAGAGAGAGCAAGGCCAAUUGUGCUUUCUUAGGGCUCCGGUAGCCGAUGGCAAGCUACAUGAACAGGAUUCGAACCAGCAAUCUCUCGAUUAUAGUGGCAUCGCUUAGACCGCUGGGCCACUCGGAGCCCCCUUGUGGCCGAUUUCUAAUUGAAUUUUUAAUAUACACUAUUAUGAGGCGAACAAUGUCAGUGAUUUGGCUGUUUCAGCUGUCACUCUUUCUUGGUUAAGCUCAUUGAGUUUAAGAGGUUAGUUGUCGCCUGCCACACUGUUUCUAAUCCACCAUUUGACCCCAAAGACCAGACAACUGUCUGCCUAAACCACAACACACAGGCACACGUCUCCGUGAUCAAUAUUUCAUUACGCACUGUGCCUUGGGUUUCUCCUUUUGAAUUAAAACGACAGGAGGUGCCACCACAAGAACGUGCAACACCCCCUCCCCUACAAUUCCCUCUCUGUGAGGUCCAGAGCACAGGUGCGGCCUACUAGCGAGAGUUUUCCUUUUUCCGUUCUUCCUAAAGACAGGAAGAGAGGUGUAAGGAAUGUUUAAGAUCUCAGAAGGUGUGAGUGAUAGGCUUCUCUUCUGAAAUGAGGUGUUGGUGCAGCACAUCUGCCUGAUGACUUUCCCUGCUGCUUCCUCACCGUAGCCUCGGUGUGGCUGAGCGGCCGGCGAGAUCACGCACAGGAAGAGAAGGAGGAGAGGAAGGGAAAGAACAAGGCGAAUCGCAUAAUGCAGAUGGCAUCUGUGAGAAUCGUGCACUUUAGAUAUGGCGUAUGAAGGAGCUUAUGGGAUUUUUUUUGUAAAUCUUAACUAUACCUUACUUACUCCUGACUCAUGAUUCUGCAAAGGAUGUUCAUUCAGAAGUCCCUGGUUGCUCUUAUCAUCUUUUUAAUUUCAAAAUUAAAGAUUUAUGGAGGCCACUGUGCCCUUUGGAACUUUCAGUGCAGCAGAAAUAUUUUGUAGCCUUCUCCAGAUCUCUCCACAGUCUUCUCUCUGAGCUCUACAGGCAGUUCUUUCCUGCUUUGUAGGUUUUUGCUCUGAUAUGCAGUGUCAGCUUAGAGACCUUAUAAACAUAUAAACAGGGGUGUGUCUUUAAAUCUUCUCCAUUCAAUAAAAAACUCUAAUCAGUGUUGAAACUUCUUUAA
ensembl:lncRNA